CACGUAGGCGGCCUGUUAAGUGUGGAGUGAAAUCCCACGGCUCACCCGUGGAACUGCUUCGCAUACUGGCAAGCUCGAGGACGGUAGGGGAGAGCGGAACUCUUGGUGGAGCGGUGAAAUGCGUAGAUAUCAAGAGGAACACCGAUGGCGAAGGCAGCUCUCUGGUCCGUUUCUGACGCUGAGGUGCGAAAGCUAGGGUAGCGAGCG
rnacentral:rRNA from 1 species